rnacentral:rRNA from 1 species
GCCGCGGUAAUACAUAGGGUGCGAGCGUUGUUCGGAAUUACUGGGCGUAAAGGGCGCGCAGGCGGAAUAGUAAGUCGGAGGUGAAAGCCCGGGGCUCAACCCCGGAGGGUCUUUCGAAACUACUAAUCUAGAGAGGGUCAGGGGCCGGCAGAAUUCCUGGUGUAGAGGUGAAAUUCGUAGAUAUCAGGAGGAAUACCGGUGGCGAAGGCGGCCGGCUGGGGCCACUCUGACGCUGAGGCGCGAAAGCGUGGGGAGCAAACAGGAUUAGAUACCCUGGUAGUCCACGCCGUAAACGAUGAGCACUGGACGUCCGGAGGGUUCGACCCUUCUGGGUGUUUCAGCUAACGCAUUAAGUGCUCCGCCUGGGGAGUACGGUCGCAAGACUAAAACUCAAAGGAAUUGGCGGGGGAGCACGGUCAUACUUGUUUCCGGA